AGUGGGUCUAGCCUGAUCACCUCACUGCUAUGGUGGUGGACAGGCUUGACCCACUCCAGUUUGCCUAUAAGGCAAGGCAUGGGGUGGAGGAUGCCUGUUUGACUCUCCUGGACACAGUUAGCAGACAGCUGGACUCCCCACACCCCCACACACGGAUUUUAUUUAUGGAUUUUUCUUCCGCUUUUAACACAGUCAACACGGUCACCCUCUGCAACCGCCUUCUGGAUCUACAAGUCAACCCAUCACUUAUCCUGUGGAUAAAAGACUUCCUGCAGGACCGGCCUCAGCAUGUGGUGGUAAAUGGUUUUAAAUCCAAGAACAUGAU